CCUACGGGUGGCUGCAGUGGGGAAUAUUGGACAAUGGGGGGAACCCUGAUCCAGCCAUGCCGCGUGUGUGAAGAAGGCCCUCGGGUUGUAAAGCACUUUCAGUGAGGAAGAACGCCUGGUGGUUAAUACCCAUCAGGAAAGACAUCACUCACAGAAGAAGCACCGGCUAACUCCGUGCCAGCAGCCGCGGUAAUACGGAGGGUGCGAGCGUUAAUCGGAAUUACUGGGCGUAAAGCGCGCGUAGGUGGCUUGAUAAGCCGGUUGUGAAAGCCCCGGGCUCAACCUGGGAACGGCAUCCGGAACUGUCAAGCUAGAGUGCAGGAGAGGAAGGUAGAAUUCCCGGUGUAGCGGUGAAAUGCGUAGAGAUCGGGAGGAAUACCAGUGGCGAAGGCGGCCAUCUGGACUGACACUGACACUGAGGUGCGAAAGCGUGGGUAGCAAACAGGAUUAGAUACCCCAGUAGUC
rnacentral:rRNA from 1 species